UUUUUAGUUAAUAAAUAUUAAUUUGGGCUGGAAAGGGUUAACGAAUUUCCCGAUUCAACGAAUUAUUUUCAUGGUCCCGACAAGAAUUGAUUAAAAUUCCCGGAUCUAACGAAUACAUAACCUCGAUUUAACGAACGCUCAAUGGAAUGUUUUUUAGAAAAAGAAUCGCAUAUUGGGGAAAAAUGUGUCAAAUCGCUUCCAAGAAAACUACUGUACGUAUUCAUUUAGACAUGAAUCAGUAUAAGUUUAGAAUCUGGGGCUGUAUUCUGGUCACUGUAUCUCUCGGAGACGAAAGACGUGUCUGCGUCAGUACAUACGUACUGUACUGUACUGUACUGUAUACUGUAUUGUGCCUGUAUGUUCUUU
rnacentral:lncRNA from 1 species